UUAAGCUACUAAGGGCUGAUGGUGGAUGCCUUGGCACCGGAAGGCGAAGAAGGACGUGGAAAGCUGCGAUAAGCUUCGGUAAGCCGCUAACAGGCGUUAACCCGGAGAUUUCCGAAUGGGGAAACCCGGCAGAGGUCAUACUCUGUCAUCGUGUACUGAAUUCAUAGGUAUACGAGGCGAACGAGGGGAAGUGAAACAUCUCAGUACCCUCAGGAAAAGAAAGCAAAAGCGAUUCCGUCAGUAGCGGCGAGCGAACGCGGAACAGCCCAAACCAUAUCCAUUUCGGUGGAUAUGGGGUUGUGGGGCCCCGACAUGGGAUGGUGAUAAAUAGCGGAACGGCAUGGAAAGGCCGACCAGAGAUGGUGAUAGUCCAGUAUGCGAAAUUUUGAUCCACCUUAGGGGAACCCCGAGUACCACGAGACACGUGAAACCUUGUGGGAAUCUGGGAGGACCAUCUCCCAAGGCUAAAUACUCACCGGUGACCGAUAGUGAACCAGUACCGUGAGGGAAAGGUGAAAAGAACCCCGGGAGGGGAGUGAAAUAGAAACUGAAACCAUCAGCUUACAAGCAGUUGAAGCUCAUAUUUAUAUGGGUGACAGCGUGCCUUUUGCAUAAUGAGUCAACGACUUAUCCUGUGUAGCGAGGUUAAGCCGCGAGGUGGAGCCGCAGCGAAAGCGAGUCUUAACAGGGCGACAUAGUUACAUGGGGUAGACCCGAAGCCGGGUGAUCUAUCCAUGUCCAGGGUGAAGGUCGAGUAACAUCGACUGGAGGCCCGAACCAUUGUAGGUUGAAAACUGCUUGGAUGAGGUGUGGAUAGGAGUGAAAGGCUAAUCAAACUCGGUGAUAGCUGGUUUUCUCCGAAAUAUAUUUAGGUAUAGCCUCGUGAGGUCACUGACGGAGGUAGAGCACUGCUUGGGCUAGGGGUCCCACCGGAUUACCAACCCCACGCAAACUCCGAAUGCCGUCAAGUUGUAUCACGGGAGUCAGACUACGGGAGAUAAGUUUCGUGGUCGAGAGGGAAACAACCCAGACCGCCAACUAAGGUCCCUAAAUCCGUGCUCAGUGGGAAAGGAGGUGAAAUUGCUGAGACAACCAGGAGGUUGGCUUAGAAGCAGCAAUCCUUUAAAGAAAGCGUAAUAGCUCACUGGUCUAGUGGAUUCGCGCCGAAAAUUUAACGGGGCUCAAGCACGGUACCGAAGUUGCGGAAUCAGAAAGCUGAUUUAAGUUUAUCAGCACAUCGGAAGAAAUUUCGCGAGCGCGAUAGCGCGAGCAAAAUUCCCUUCGUGAAAGUAUAGAGUUGAUGAGUUUAAGUCAGCUUUCUGAUUGGUAGGAGAACAUUGUGUAGGCCUGAGAAGGCGCAUCGUGAGGUGCGCUGGAGGUAUCACAAGAGCUUAUGUUGACACGAGUAGCGAUAAAGAGGGUGAGAAACCCUCUCGCCGAAAGUCUAAGGUUUCCUGAAGUCAAGUUAAUCUGCUCAGGGUUAGUCGGCCCCUAAGGCGAGGCUGAAAAGCGUAGUCGAUGGGAAACAGGCGAACAUUCCUGUACCGCUGGUGUGGAAUUUGUAUAAGGGGGGACGAAGAAGGAUAGGCCGGCCAUCUGUUGGAAUAGGUGGUUUAAGCGUGUAGACGGAAGACUUUGGCAAAUCCGGGUCUUCUUAACGUUGAGGCGUGAUGACGAAGCCCAUAAGGGCUGCAAAGCGGCUAAUUCCAAGCUUCCAGGAAAAUCCUCGUAUACAUUCAUACUGGUGACCGUACCGUAAACCGACACAGGUAGACAGGUAGAACAUACCAAGGCGCUUGAGAGAACUCUGGUUAAGGAACUCGGCAAAAUAGCACCGUAACUUCGGGAGAAGGUGUGCCCCCAUGGUGAUUGUUUUUUACAAACAUGAGCCUGCGGGGGUUGCAGUGAAAUGGGGGGAGCGACUGUUUACUAAAAACAUAGGACUCUGCGAAGUCGUAAGACGAUGUAUAGGGUCUGACGCCUGCCCGGUGCCGGAAGGUUAAGGGGACGUGUUCGUUUUCGGACAAAGCACUGAACCGAAGCCCCGGUAAACGGCGGCCGUAACUAUAACGGUCCUAAGGUAGCGAAAUUCCUUGUCGGGU
rnacentral:rRNA from 1 species